CUAUUGAUUGCACUAUGCAAUUACAGUAUAUGUGUCAGUCAAAUGUGGAUAUUUACUGAAGGUUUAUACCUACAUAUGUUGAUAUAUAGGACAUUAUAUACAGAUAGGAAGGGUGUUAAAUUCUAUAUUUAUCUUGGCUGGUUGUCACCAUUGUUGUUUUUCCUACCAUGGGUUAUCGUGAAAGCUGUUAACGAUAAUACAUUCUGUUGGAACAUUAAUACCCAUGCUGGAUAUAUCUGGAUAAUGCACGGUCCUUUGAUGGCUACAGUUGUGAUUAAUUUCGUCUUUUUUCUGGAUAUACUACGUGUUUUAUGUACACGUGUUCGUACUAAUCAAAGGCAUGUGGGUAGAACCCAGUACAG